rnacentral:lncRNA from 1 species
GGUGAUUGCAAGUGUGUUUGAUGUGUUUAUGUGUGGGCAUGUGCUGUGUGUGUGUAUGCGUGGGCAUGUGCUAUGUGUGUGCACAUGUGUGGCCAUGUGCUGUGUGUGUGUAUGUGUGGGCAUGUGCUGUGUGUGCAUAUGUGUGGGCAUGUGCUGUGUGUGUGUAUGUGUGGGCAUGUGCUAUGUGUGUGCACAUGUGUGGGCAUGUGCUGUGUGUGCGUAUGUGUGGGCAUGUGCUGUGUGUGCGUAUGUGUGGGCAUGUGCUAUGUGUGUGCACAUGUGUGGGCAUGUGCUAUGUGUGUGCACAUGUGUGGCCAUGUGCUGUGUGUGUGUAUGUGUGGGCAUGUGCUGUGUGUGUGCAUAUGUGUGGGCAUGUGCUGUGUGUGUGUAUGUGUGGGCAUGUGCUGUGUCUGUGUCUGUGUGGGCACGUGCUAUGUGUGUGCACAUGUGUGGGCAUGUGCUGUGUCUGUGUCUGUGUGGGCAUGUGCUAUGUGUGUGCACAUGUGUGGCCAUGUGCUGUGUGUGUGUAUGUGUGGGCAUGUGCUGUGUCUGUGUCUGUGUGGGCAUGUGCUAUGUGUGUGCACAUGUGUGGGCAUGUGCUGUGUGUGUGUAUGUGUGGGCAUGUGCUGUGUCUGUGUCUGUGUGGGCAUGUGCUGUGUGUGUGCACAUGUGUGGUUAUGUGCUGUGUGUGUGUAUGUGUGGGCAUGUGCUAUGUGUGUGCACAUGUGUGGGCAUAUGCUGUGUGUGUGUAUGUGUGGGCAUGUGCUGUGAGUGUGAAUGUGG